CAGAUUACUCAAUUCUUCCAAAGAUGUCAGCGGCUCACGGUAAAAGCUGUAGGUGCAAAUCUUCCUCUUCAACUCUGGAAUGGCUGCCAUCUCUCAAUGUGAACAGACUCCUGAAUAAACCUGAGAAAUGAUAUGCAUGUGCAAGUUAGCUUUUUUUCUCUUUUUUCUCUUCUUUUUUUUGCAUUAUUUUUUUUGAAAACAAACAUGCUAUGAUGCAAAUGAUGAAACCAUGACUGGUUGGCUGUGAAUCACAAGGCACAGGUUCAGAACUUCG
rnacentral:lncRNA from 1 species